rnacentral:rRNA from 1 species
UACGAAGGGGGCUAGCGUUGCUCGGAUUGACUGGGCGUAAAGGGCGCGUAGGCGGUUCGUACAGUCAGACGUGAAAUUCCUGGGCUCAACCUGGGGGCUGCGUUUGAUACGUGCGGACUUGAGUGCGGAAGAGGGUCGUGGAAUUCCCAGUGUAGAGGUGAAAUUCGUAGAUAUUGGGAAGAACACCGGUGGCGAAGGCGGCGACCUGGUCCGAUACUGACGCUGAGGUGCGAGAGCGUGGGGAGCAAACAGG